GAUGAACGCUGGCUACAGGCUUAACACAUGCAAGUCGUGGGGAAACGGCAUUAUGUGCUUGCACAUUCUGGACGUCGACCGGCGCACGGGUGAGUAUCGCGUAUCCAACCUGCCCCUUACUUGGGGAUACCCCGUUGAAAGACGGCCUAAUACCCGAUGUGUUUCAUUGACGGCAUCCGAUAUGAAACAAAGGUUUUUCCGGUAAGGGAUGGGGAUGCGUCUGAUUAGCUUGUUGGCGGGGCAACGGCCCACCAAGGCGACGAUCAGUAGGGGUUCUGAGAGGAAGGUCCCCCACAUUGGAACUGAGACACGGUCCAAACUCCUACGGGAGGCAGCAGUGAGGAAUAUUGGUCAAUGGACGCAAGUCUGAACCAGCCAAGUAGCGUGCAGGAUGACGGCCCUAUGGGUUGUAAACUGCUUUUAUGUGGGAAUAAAGUGGCGCACGUGUGCGCCAUUGCA
rnacentral:rRNA from 1 species